GGUCCUGGUCCCAGAAUGGUGCCCUAGGGGCUACGAUAAGAUAAAUAAUGAAUAAUAAUACAGUUGGACACUCUUGCCAUGCACAUAAUUUGUUGGAGCUAAAUUCUCUGCUAGUGUAAACUUGCACAGUUCCACUGCCUGUCAUGGAGCUUCAGCAAUUCAUGCCUGCAAAGAAUUUGGCCCUUGGUCUUUAGUGUUUUACUAGCUUCCCUGACACUACUUAAAUAUGGUGCCACGGUACAGCUCCUGUUGUCUCCAGAACUCUGCUACAGGCUGGCUGGGCAUUAGUACUUCAAGCACUAGCCCACAGGGUUCACUCUUUAUUACCUUAUCAAAUGAACAAAAUUUCCAUAAUAAGUCUUCCUGUACUGCAGAUAAAAUAGCAAACAAACAUUUGGGUGAGUUAAAAAAAAAAGCUGACUAAAUGCAGGAAGAUCCUUCUUGUUAUUCUACCAAUAUUGCUUCCUUUGCUUAUUAGUAGCCCAAAGGAAAUGCUAGUUCAGAAGGAGCCAGGGGAGCAGUUAGCAGCUUCUUGCUAGAUCUUCAGUAUCUCUGCUGCACAGGCUAGAAGAUGCUGUAAGAAUGUGUGACUCAUACAGCUCAUCAUGAUUGAAAACUCCUCUGAUGCCAGUAGAAAUAGGAUGUGGUAUGGCUUCAGCCAAUAAUUCAGAAUCGUCAGAGAGUGACACGGCAUCAAAAGCAACACUAAAUGUACUGAUCCUCUUCUUCGCCUGGGCUAUGUGAGUUGCAACUACCUUUAAGCAAGUUUCUGAGCUUUUCUUACUUGUUUCCAGUGAACAUGCUUCUUCCUUUACCCAGACUGACAAAGUAGCAAAAAUGAGACAGCAUCACGCUCUGCUGGCUCAGCUGCAAUUUACAUGGUGCUGUCGGCCUAUUUCCUUGCUUGAUGCUUGAGUGUGACUGAUGAUACAAGUCUCAACACAGAGCUGGGAACAGCAUCAGAUCACCAAGUAAGAGAAGCUUCCACAAGGAGCCCUAGUAACUCAAUGCUAUAAAAUGCAGCAAUGAUUCCAGUCUUAAGGUUAUCUGGCAAUGUACAAAAGAAAGGAAGAUGCUGAAGAAUUUCUCACAAUGACAAUCCCUGCCCCAAGGAGUUUAUGAAAAUACUACUAUGGUCACUGCAUUCUAAUUAAGAUUGGUCUCUGCUAGAUUUUUUAAAUCUGGACUCUGGCUCUUCUAAAUAAAGUUCUGCAUAACAAUCA